GAGAGCAGGUGAUCACCUCCAGAUGGCGGGCUAACUUCACGCGACUGGAGGAAGGUUCUAAAUGGCCUGACUGAAAAAAAAGAAAAAAGAUACUUUUUUGUUUAUUAUGCAAACCAAUGAAGAGACAACAAUGAGGGUGAAACUAAUGGCAUAUAUGAAUUUGAUGUUGAUCCAGUGGAUGAAAAGUUUUCUAACUGAACCCAGAGUAACUAAAGAUUUAAACUCAAUAUCAUCAAUUGACCUGCUAAAACUACAAAUGUUGAUUAUUUUUCACUAAAAAUUUCACAGGAUCACUAAACUAAAAGUUUUUGCUAUCAAAAUUGUGGAUAAAUUUUCCUUUUCGACUUCCACUCCUGGUCCAUGUGAGAGACAGGCUGCUGAGAUGAGUGCGAACCAGGCUGCAGAGAGCAACCUUCUGGCUUCGAACCAACAGAAAGAACUAGAGGAUUUGCCAAAAGACCACCCCUUGAGUACCAGUGAAGAUGAAGGGGACAAUGAUGGAGAAAGAAAGCAUCAGAAGCUUCUGGAAUCAAUCAGUUCACUUAAUGGAAAGGAUAGGCAGAAAUUGGCUGAGAGGUCUGAGGCUAGUCUGAAGGUGUCAGAGUUCAAUGUAAGUUCUGAAGGAUCAGGAGAAAAGCUGGUCCUUUCAGAUCUGCUUGAGCCUGUUAAAACUUCAUCCUCAUUGGUUGCUGUGAAAAAGCAGCUGAAUCGAGUGAAAUCAAAGAAGACUGUGGAGUUACCACUUCACAGGGAAGAGAUUGAGCAGAUCCACAGACAAGUGGCAUUCAAUAAAAGCUCCCAAAUCCUCUCCAAAUGGGAUCCUGUCGUUCUGAAGAACCGGCAAGCAGAGCAGCUGGUUUUUCCCCUGAGCAAGCCCCAGUCAGCCUUUGCUCCCAUCGAACAUGUGGUCAGUGGCUGGAAGGCAGGAACUCCCCUGGAGCAGGAGAUAUUUAAUCUUCUCCGUAAGAACAAGCAGCCCGUGAUAGACCCUUUACUGACUCCCGUGGAAAAGGCCUCUCUCAAAGCUAUGAGCCUGGAGGAGGUAAAGAUGUGCCGAGCAGAGCUUCAAAGGGCCCGGGCCCUGCAGUCGUACUAUGAGGCCAGGGCUCGAAGGGAGAAGAGAAUCAAAAGCAAAAAGUAUCACAGAAUUCUGAAGAAAAGAAAGGCCAAGCAAGCCUUAAAAGAUUUUGAGAAGCUGCAGAAGGUCAAUCCUGCUGCAGCACUGGAAGAACUGAAAAAACUUGACAAAGCCAGAAUGAUGGAGCGAAUGAGCCUUAAGCACCAGAACAGUGGGAAAUGGGCAAAAUCAAAGGCAAUUAUGGCCAAAUAUGACCUGGAGGCCCGCCAGGCUAUGCAGGAACAGCUGGCCAGGAACAAAGAGCUGACGCAGAAGGUCUGGGCAGCCUCUGAGAGUGAGGAAGAGGAGGAAGGCCAGGAGGAAGAGGAAGAACCUCUUGUCCCUGACAUGGUGAAUGGGGUGCAGAUAAAGGCAAAUGGGCUGAACCCCUGGAUGUUGCAGAAUCACUUCAGUGAUGCCAAAGAGGCUGAGGUCCAGAAAGACCUGGAAGACCCUGCUGAGCCUGAAGCCCAGGAGACUUCUGAAAGUGAGGAAGAAAGAGCAGUGGUGGAAGAAGAAACUCUCUUGAAAGAAUUUGAGGAAAGGAGAUCACUUAGACAGAAGUCUGAGCUCAACCACAUGGUGGAGCCAGUGCACAGACGUGUAACAAAGGAUCCUAGCAGCCAGGAGGUGCUGUCCAAAUUGAGGGCACUGUCUCAGAAACUCAUCAUGGAGAACCAUCAGUCAGGGAAGCAAGAACUGAGUUCAGCGAGGACAGCUCAGAGCGAGGAAACCGCCAGGGAGGAAGAGGAGCUCAUGUUUCUGCAGAGGCCAGAGAGAGCUCAGACUCUGGAUGAGCUGGAGGGGCUGGGCAGGGGAGGGUGUGUUGCAAACGAGGAGCUUCCCAGAAUUGCAGUGGAAGGGCUGCAGUUGGAGAAGAAUCUAAGUGAUCAUAUCGGCGCCCCCAAGGAGAAGAAAAAGAAGGAACAAAUGAUUGAUCUCCAGAAUCUCCUAACCACAAAAUCGCCUUCCAUGAAGUCCUUGGCAGUUCCCAUGACUGUACAGAAGUUGGAAGAUGAAGAAGAGAAAGAUAAAAGGCAGAUGAUAAAGGAAGCUUUUGCUGGGGAUGAUGUCAUCAGAGACUUCUUGAAAGAGAAGAGGGAAGCUGUGGAGGCCAGUAAGCCAAAGGACCUGGACCUGACUCUGCCUGGCUGGGGCGAGUGGGGUGGUAUGGGCCUGAAGCCCAGUGCCAAGAAGAGAUGCCGGUUUCUCAUUAAAGCCCCUAGGGGUCCUCCAAGGAAAGACGAGAAUUUGCCAAAUGUGAUUAUCAAUGAGAAGCGGAGCAUCCAUGCAGCAGCUCAUCAGGUGCAGGUGCUUCCGCUUCCAUUCACACACCAUCAACAGUUUGAAAGGACCAUCCAGACCCCCAUAGGGUCUACAUGGAACACCCAGAGGGCCCUCCAAAAGCUGACCAUGCCCAAGGUUGUCACCAGGGCAGGCCAUAUCAUUAAGCCUAUCAAAGCAGAGGAUGUGGGCUACCGAUCUUCCUCAAGGUCAGACCUCUGUAUCGUACAGAGGAACCCAAAACGACUCUCCAUACAUCACAAAAAAACAUCUGGAAAAUAACUGUGUGGACUGAAUUGCUGAAGUAGUGACACCUUGGUGCUGGGAACCGAUAGCCCAGCCUCCACUGGCCUGGUUUUACUUAGAGCUGCACGAUGAUUCCAAAACAAGCUUAGCACACCGUGGGUGUAGUUAAGCCAUGUUUUAGAAAUAAAGGCAUUUUUAUCU